GACGAACCGUGCGAACGUUGUUCGGAAUCACUGGGCUUAAAGGGCGCGUAGGCGGGCUAUCAAGUCCGGGGUGAAAUCCUCCAGCUCAACUGGAGAACGGCCUCGGAUACUGAUGGUCUCGAGGGGGAUAGGGGCACACGGAACUGUGGGUGGAGCGGUGAAAUGCGUUGAUAUCCAUAGGAACUCCGGUGGCGAAAGCGGUGUGCUGGAUCCCUUCUGACGCUGAGGCGACGCAAAGGCCAGGGGAAGCA
rnacentral:rRNA from 1 species